AUUGAACGCUGGCGGAAUGCUUUACACAUGCAAGUCGAACGGCAGCACGGACUUCGGUCUGGUGGCGAGUGGCGAACGGGUGAGUAAUGUAUCGGAACGUGCCCAGUCGUGGGGGAUAACGUUGUGAAAAUUACGCUAAUACCGCAUACGAUCUAUGGAUGAAAGCGGGGGAUCGUAAGACCUCGCGCGAUUGGAGCGGCCGAUAUCAGAUUAGGUAGUUGGUGGGGUAAAGGCCCACCAAGCCAACGAUCUGGAGCUGGUCUGAGAGGACGACCAGCCACACUGGAACUGAGACACGGUCCAGACUCCUACGGGAGGCAGCAGUGGGGAAUUUUGGACAAUGGGCGAAAGCCUGAUCCAGCCAUUCCGCGUGCAGGAUGAAGGCCCUCGGGUUGUAAACUGCUUUUGUACAGAACGAAAAGGUUUCUACUAAUACUAGGAGCUCAUGACGGUACUGUAAGAAUAAGCACCGGCUAACUACGUGCCAGCAGCCGCCGCCG
rnacentral:rRNA from 1 species